rnacentral:rRNA from 1 species
AGAACGAACGCUGGCGGCAGGCCUCAAACAUGCAAGUCUAGGGGGUGUAGCAAUACAUCACCGGCGGACGGGUGCGUAACACGUGGGAAUAUACCUUUUGGUUCGGAACAACGCAGGGAAACUUGCGCUAAUACCGAAUGUGCCCUUACGGGGAAAGAUUUAUCGCCAAAGGAUUAGCCCGCGUAGGAUUAGCUAGUUGGUGAGGUAAUGGCUCACCAAGGCUCCGAUCCUUAGCUGUUCUGAGAGGAAGAUCAGCCACACUGGGACUGAGACACGGCCCAGACUCCUACGGGAGGCAGCAGUUGGGAAUCUUGGACAAUGGGGGAAACCCUGAUCCAGCCAUGCCGCGUGAGUGAUGAAGGCCUUCGGGUUGUAAACCUCUUUCAGCAGGGAAGAAGCUUUGGGUGACGGUACCUGCAGAAGAAGCACCGGCUAACUACGUGCCAGCAGCCGC